GACAAACAGAUCAAGUUAAGUUUAUUUCGGUAUAAAAGGGAGUAAAAUAUAUUGGGGAAGAAAUUUAAUUUUGUGUAGGGAGGUGGAAUUUGUAUACAUAAAAUUAUAAUAGUUAUUUCUUUUGUUUGAUGCUUCGAAAGUUAAAUGAGAGACCGGGAUUAGAUACCCCGUUAUUUUUUUUGUAAAUUUUGAUUAAAUAUAUUAAUUUACCUGAGUAUUACGGGUUAAAAAUUUAAAUACUAAUUAAUUUAGUUAAAAAUUUUUAUUACUUAAAACUCAAAAAACUUGGCGGUGCUUUAUUUCCUUUCAGGGGAACCUGUCCUGUGAUCGAUGAUCCACGAUUUAACUGACUUUUUUUUGAAUUUUAUUUAGUUAAAGUAAUCAGUUUGUAUACCGUCGUCGUCAGAUUACCUUUAAGAGUUAAGAAGUUGUCGGGUAAAGUAAAAGUAAGUGAAAUAUAUAAUACUCUAUAUAUUGUGUAAAUUACUUACUUAAUUUUUGAUGUCAGAUCAAGGUGCAGCCUAUAAAAAAGUAGAGAUGGGUUACAAUAUAUAUUUUAUAAUGGAUAAUAGUUUGUAAUAAUUAUGUGAAAGUGGACUUGAAAGUAAUAUAGAUAUAGGAGAAAUAUAUGUGCAUGAGUAAUUAGCCUAUGUGAAGAUGGUACUAAAGCGCGU
rnacentral:rRNA from 1 species